UUGCAAUGGUGCAAUGAUCCAUUUCUCCUGUCUCCCUGGAGGAGGAAAAAGGCCUAAUCAACAAGAAAGGAGACAUAAUCCGUGAAACAGACAGCUAACAAGCUCUAAGUGAUGCCUAGGUGUUAGAAAAACUUGUUGGUAGAAUUGCCUUGUUAUGACUUAGGGCUUGGCAUGUUUGAUUUAUCUCAGACUUAGGAGGAGGUUAACAAAGCCUGAAAAGAAGGAUGUACCACUGAUAGUGGACACAAAGAAUGCAGAAUUUACAGCCACAAGGACAUCUGGCAGAACUCCCAAGAUAAGGAAGAAACUGGGAAAAACAACUCAGCAACAGUGCUGAAAUUAGCUCCAGCUGGGUAAAAGCUAUUUCCAGCAGGGCCAGAUCAUGACCACCAAGUCACAAGCAACUAACCCAAGAAACCCAUCAACCUAGAAUAAGAGAAAGAUUGAACACACAGACUAAUUAACAGGAGAAGCGACAGAAUUAUUAAGCAAUAGAAGAUAGAAUACUAAUUAAUAAAAGAACUAUGUAACUUGUAGUCAACAAA